CAGAUUGCAGGCUGCAACUCGCCUGCAUGAAGUCGGAAUUGCUGUAAUCGCAGAUCAGCAUGCUGCGGUGAAUACGUUCCCGGGCCUUGUACACACCGCCCGUCACACCAUGGGAGUCGGUAACACCCGAAGUCGGUAGCCUAACCGUAAGGAGGGCGCCGCCGAAGGUGGGAUUGAUGACUGGGGUGAAGUCGUAACAAGGUACC
rnacentral:rRNA from 1 species